rnacentral:rRNA from 1 species
GUGUCAGCAGCCGCGGUAAUACGUAGGCAGCAAACGUUGUUCGGAGUUACUGGGCGUAAAGAGUACGUAGGCGGUUUGCCAAGUUUGGUGUGAAAUCUCCUGGCUUAACUGGGAGGGUGCGCCGAAUACUGGCGGGCUUGAGUAUUGGAGAGGAAAGCGGAAUUCCUGGUGUAGCGGUGAAAUGCGUAGAUAUCAGGAGGAACACCGGUGGUGUAGACGGCUUUCUGGACAAUCACUGACGCUGAGGUACGAAAGCGUGGGUAGCAAACAGGAUUAGAUACCCUGGUAGUCC